UACGUAGGGGGCUAGCGUUGUCCGGAAUCAUUGGGCGUAAAGCGCGCGUAGGCGGCCCGGUAAGUCCGCUGUGAAAGUCAAAGGCUCAACCUUUGAAUGUCAGCGGAUACUGCCGGGCUAGAGUCCGGAAGAGGCGAGUGGAACUCCUGGUGUAGCGGUGGAAUGCGCAGAUAUCAGGAAGAACACCAACGGCGAAGGCAGCUCGCUGGGACGGAACUGACGCUGAGGCGCGAAAAGCCAGGGGGAGCGAACGGGG
rnacentral:rRNA from 1 species